rnacentral:rRNA from 1 species
UACGAAGGGGGCAAGCGUUGUUCGGAAUUACUGGGCGUAAAGGGCGCGCAGGCGGCCGUUCAAGUCAGAUGUGAAAGCCCCGGGCUCAACCUGGGAAUAGCAUUUGGGACUGGAUGGCUAGAGUUCGGGAGAGGAGAGUGGAAUUCCCAGUGUAGAGGUGAAAUUCGUAGAUAUUCGCAAGAACACCAGUGGCGAAGGCGGCUCACUGGCCCGGUACUGACGCUGAGGUGCGAAAGCGUGGGGAGCAAACAGG